rnacentral:rRNA from 1 species
AUACGGAGGGUGCAAGCGUUAUCCGGAAUCAUUGGGUUUAAAGGGUCCGCAGGCGGAUUAAUAAGUCAGUGGUGAAAUCCCCUCGCUCAACGAGAGAACUGCCAUUGAAACUGUUAGUCUUGAAUUCGGUCGAAGUAGGCGGAAUGUGUCAUGUAGCGGUGAAAUGCAUAGAUAUGACACAGAACACCGAUAGCGAAGGCAGCUUACUAGACCUGGAUUGACGCUCAUGGACGAAAGCGUGGGGAGCGAACAGGAUUAGAAACCCCAGUAGUCC